rnacentral:rRNA from 1 species
UAGGGAAUCUUCCACAAUGGACGCAAGUCUGAUGGAGCAACGCCGCGUGAGUGAAGAAGGUUUUCGGACCGUAAAGCUCUGUUGUUGGUGAAGAAGGAUAGAGGUAGUAACUGGCCUUUAUUUGACGGUAAUCAACCAGAAAGUCACGGCUAACUACGUGCCAGCAGCCGCGGUAAUACGUAGGUGGCAAGCGUUGUCCGGAUUUAUUGGGCGUAAAGCGAGCGCAGGCGGAAGAAUAAGUCUGAUGUGAAAGCCCUCGGCUUAACCGAGGAAUUGCAUCGGAAACUGUUUUCUUGAGUGCAGAAGAGGAGAGUAGAACUCCAUGUGUAGCGGUGGAAUGCGUAGAUAUAUGGAAGAAUACCAGUGGCGAAGGCGGCUCUCUGGUCUGCAACUGACGCUGAGGCUCGAAAGCAUGGGUAGCGAACAGGAUUAGAUACCCCUUGGUAGUCCAUG